UCUGCAGAUAGAUCCAGAUAGUUUUGCUCUGCAGAUAGGUCCAGAUAGUUUUGCUCUGCUGAUGGAUUCAUCUUCCUACUUUUAAAUUAAGCAAGAGAAGAAAAUCAACAAAUGAGACAGUGCACACAGAAGGGGACAGGGAGGGGAAUAAAGGCCCCAUUUAUAGCAACGUCUCAGGGACGCCAAUGAGUCACACUGAAACCCUGGGUACAGACAGAGGAAACGGUGAAGUUCCCCUCUACUCCUCUGUACAACCUGCUAACACACACAACCAAGAAGAGCUUCUAUUCUCCACUGUGUGCUGCCCUCAGAGUGAGGAUGAGGUUCAGUAUGCCAGCGUCCAGUUCCUCCCCUCCGGUGCUGGCCCCAGGCCACCAGCAUCGACAGUGACGGAAGACUGCGUUCUCUACAGCACAGUUCGAAAACAUCAAACAUGAAAAUAAAGCGUCCACAUCUCUCAUUUCACAAACCUUGGGCCGACGCUGAUUAUGCAGUGUGCAAACAGUAUCUCUUUGAAUGUGCAAGCAUUUCCUGUGUUUUAAUAAGCAAAUAUUCUGUCUGGAUAGCAAUCAUUAAGCAUCAACAUCCUUCGCUUGGAAUCAACCAAACAUGUACCUGAUGACAUGAUGUACCUUAUGACUAAAAUAAUUGAUUAUAAGAUUGAAAAAGAUUUUUAAAUUUUUAAAUUUUUUAUUUAUUAGUUUAUUUGUCAGGGACAAUGCAGAGAUAAUUCUAACAGGUUACAAUAGCAUGACACAGAUGUGUUG